rnacentral:rRNA from 1 species
AGGACGAACGCUGGCGGCGUGCUUAACACAUGCAAGUCAAGGGGGCCCAGCAAUGGGCAACCGGCGAACGGGUGCGUAACACGUGAGCAACCUACCGAAAUGUGGGGGAUAGCCGGCCUAACGGCCGAGUAAUACCGCAUACGCUCUCGAUGAGGCAUUUCAUUGAGAGGAAACCUACGGGACAUUUCGAGGGGCUCGCGGCCUAUCAGCUAGUUGGCGAGGUAACGGCUCACCAAGGCAACGACGGGUAGCUGGUCUGAGAGGAUGGCCAGCCACAUUGGGACUGAGAUACGGCCCAGACUCCUACGGGAGGCAGCAGUGGGGAAUCUUGCGCAAUGGCCUAACGGCUGACGCAGCGACGCCGCGUGUAGGAUGAAGCUCUUCGGAGUGUAAAACUACUGUUGCCCGGGACGAAUAGCUCGAUUAAUCGAGCCUGACGGUACCGGUGAGGAAGCACCGGCUAACUCCGUGCCAGCAGCCGCGGUAA